GGAAAGGGUGGAUAGCCAAAUCCCGAGGCCUGCAUGCCUCCCUGGGAUUCCCCCAUACCUUCUUCUGACCUUCCUACACCCAUGCUUACAUCUCUACUCUGACCCUCUUCCAUCACACCUCUUUCUUCUACUGACCUUCCCCCUCUGUUUACUCCUCUCCUGCUCUCGUCAGAAGACCUUCUAGGGUCUCGUGACGUUCCUUCCCUGCUUGACCUGUGAGAUCUUGCCCUUGGCAAGGCAGGUGGACGAGCAGCUGUACCCUCACUUACAGGUGGGACUCCAAUCAAUCUCGCGGAUCGACGAGUUCCUCGCAUCUUCACUCUCUGGAAAACAACAAAUCACAUAACACAUCAGCAACACAUCAAAAACAUGCACAUGCAUAACUCAGGGCAUGGCACAUCAGCAUAUAGACAGGACUAACAUCCUAUCCUAGUGGACAUGUUUUUCCUAUGGUGCUUGACCUACUAAACCUCCCUAUGAGCCCAACUCUCUCUCUAUAGGUCCGACCAUGUGAACCUAGGGCUCUGAUACCAAUCUGUAACAGCCCGGAAACCGAACUGCCACCGGCACUAGGAUCCAGAUCGACUUAAGGUCGCCGGGACCCGUAGUAAGCCUGCUAUCCUGUGUAUACCUGUAAAAUCCCAUACAUGAUCAUACAUUUGCUGUAAAACACAUAAAACGUUUCUUCAUUCCAAGGCUUAACCUGUGCAUGCAAUCUUUCUAUUCUCUACUAAUCCCUACUAGAGCUCCUCAUGGCCCUAGGCGGAUCAAACUCAUCAUGUUAAGC
rnacentral:lncRNA from 1 species